GGCGUGCCUAACACAUGCAAGUCCAACGUGAAAGGGGAGCAAUCCCCCGGUAGGGUGGCAAACGGGUGAGUAAGACAUGGGUGAUCUACCUUAGGGAUGGGGAUAUCCUUCCGAAAGGAGGGGCAAUACCGAAUAUUGUCCGGGACCAUGAAGGGUUCCGGGGAAAGGGAGGCCUCUGAUACAAGCUUUCGCCUUAGGAUGAGCCCGUGGCCCAUGAGCUAGUGGGUAGGGUAAGGGCCUACCAAGGCUACGACGGGUCGGUGGUCUGAGAGGACGACCAGGCCACACUGGCACUGAGAU
rnacentral:rRNA from 1 species